GGAGGGGUGGCAUAGUGGUCCAUUGCACGCAAAGCGUAAGUUUUGUGUAUUCUGCUAAGCAGAGUCGUAUGUUCAAAUCGUACCCCCUCCG
rnacentral:tRNA from 1 species